rnacentral:lncRNA from 1 species
UCGAAUCUCAAGUCUCUUGACAGCAGGGGUCUUCAACAACUCACCUCUCUUCUACAAUUAAAGAUCAGAGACUGCCCAGAGCUCCAGUUCUCGACAGGAUCGGUUCUUCAACACCUUAUCUCUCUAAAACGAUUAGAAAUUGAUGGAUGCUCGAGGCUCCAAUCAUUGACAGAAGUGGGUCUUCAGCACCUCACCUCUCUUGAAAGGUUGUGGAUCGAAAACUGCCCAAUGCUCCAAUCCUUGACAGAAGUGGGUCUUCAACACCUCACCUCUCUUGAAAGUUUGUGGAUCGGUAACUGCCCAAUGCUCCAAUCCUUGACAAAAGUGGGUCUUCAACACCUCACCUCUCUUAAAACAUUAGGGAUCUAUAACUGUCGUAAGCUCAAAUACUUGACAAAAGAAAGACUUCCAGACUCCCUCUCUUAUCUGCACAUCGACAGGUGUCCCUCACUGGAAAAACGGUGUCAAUUUGAGAAAGGGGAAGAAUGGCG